rnacentral:lncRNA from 1 species
UUCUUUUAUUUUUUUUUCUUUUUGUUUACAUUUGUUUUUUACUUCUCAAUCCUAUUUGCUUUUUUAAAACUUUUUUUUGUUUGCCUUCUCCACACAACGCUUUAAUCACAGUUUGGUUCCCACAAUACAGAACUCAAAAAGCAGGUAAGAGAAAAAAUAUAGAAUAGGAAAAGCUAAAAUUUAUUUCAGGAAAUCCUUGAAUAAAGCAGGUAAGAAAAAAAAACAUAGAACAGGAAAAGCUAAAAUUUAUUUCAGGAAGACCUUGAAACCCAGCUUGUUUCAAACUGCAAGUUGAAAGCCAUCUCCAAAGCCCCAACCCUCUUCCUACUCUUCCUUGUCCUUGAGUGGCAUCAGGAGGAAGCUGAGGCUGGCUCUUGGAUCCCAUUUGCUGUUCCCAUGUGCUGCAAAGACUGCUGUGGCGUCACAGUUUGGAGUGAGGGUGGUUUCACUUUAGCGUGAAUCAUGUCCCCAGGGAGCUGGAAAAAUGCCCGGCUGUCAUCUGGCGUCAGAAUGAGAACCAGAUCCCACCUGCUGCCAGGACAGAGCAGGCACUGGCAGCUCCAGGGACAGCAGCAGGUAGGGUGAGGUUCCUGUGCUUGGCACCUCAUCCCUCCAUCCCUCAUCCAGCGAGCUCUGAGCUCCCUGCAGGGUUUUUAACUUUGACCCCUUGCGCAGAUAUCCCAAUUUUUGGAGCCCGUCGCUGGUUUCAUUUCAGGACUCCCGGGCCAGGAGCCAGCUGAAAGCUCCCUGCCUCAGUUUCGUGAGGAAGUGCAAACUCACUGCCUUGGAGCCUGGGCUGAUGAUGAAACCCUGUGGCUCCUCCUCUUGGCCUCAUUAGCAUGGGGAAUUCACGAGUAUAAAAUCCUGUCCAUGUCCCGCCGUGGCAACACGGACCUCGGGAAUCCCGGCAGUGUCUUCCUCAGCCCUGGUGCUGCUUGCAUCCUCAUCCUCCCCUCCAGCUGGACCAAGGUCGGGCAUCAUGGAGCCACCAGCCAUGCUGGAGGAUGAGAGUGCUCCAGAGAACAGGAGAUCCACGUACCUGAGGGUGGCUUUUCAUGCUCUCAUUUUUGUGUUGAUUAUUAUCUCAACCCUGGUCCCCAUCGGCUUCUGUUUGCUCUAUCAGCAGGCACCGGGGGUCUGCUGGGCACAUGGAUCUCUGAACGAGUCUUCUUCACAAGACCCAGCAGUUUUGAUCUGGAAUUGGGAAUUACGCCACUGCAAGGGGAUUGUGCAGGGCCAAGGGGAGUACCUCAUCAUCCAGGAGAGCGGCAGAUACUUCAUCUAUGUUCAGCUCUUCCGCAAGGAGCCCCUCAAGGUGCCUUUUUCGGUGAUGCUUUUGGAAAACAAAACAUCAACCCUGCUCAACAAUGCUGUGGGGCCUGAGAAUGGCACAGUCCACUUUGCAAGGCCCUUCCAGCUGAAGAAGGGAGACAAACUGAUCUGUAAGAAAAACGACGAGGACUACUACAGUCUGCUGGAGACUCAGACUUAUUGGGGCCUGUUUAAAAUGUAGCAGGACUGCUCCGAGUCAGCUCCUCCCUUAUUUCCUCCAAGAAACCUCAGGUCGUGGAUGAGGAAUCUGGAAUGUCUCUUUGGGUGAAAUUCAGCUUGCUGGAGUAAGCUCGUGUCCUGCAGUGACAGUGAACAGCGAACUUUGGUGGUGAUGGAUGGCUGCUGAUGGACACAAAGCAUGAGCAAAAGAUGGAGGGAGAAAACCCCUGGAUGGUUUGUGGGGUUGACUCUGAGAUCCUGGAAAAACAAGUGCCUAUAUUCAGCCUGUUCUGAGCUGGGGAGGAGCUCUACUCUGCAGCUGGCUGCAUUUCACAGCUGGGUACCUUGGUCAGUCCCCUGGGUCCCUUCUAACAAGAGGUGCUACGUAAAGACAAGAUAUUUUAUGUCCUUCCCACACAAGCUGCCAGUGAAACAACCGGUCCACAGCAGAGGGACAAAAUGGUUCAGAAACAGCACAGGAAGAGCUUCUCAGCCCCUCCACAGCCUUGCCACUAGCAAGGGAAGCACACCAAGAAAACUCCAUCUCCAUGGGCAGUUCAGAGCACAGGGAGCUUUCCCAAGGCGGCUGCAUGGCAUGGCGCAGACAGCCCAGCACAGGGAGCCUGGGAUGCAGCGCAGGGGGAUGGAUCACUGCUGGCUGGGCAGCACAAAGCUGCUGAGGCUGUGCAGGAGAGCUAAUGGUAGGGGAGAGUGAGCACAGAGGGGAGACAAGAGGAUGGAGGCUUGGAGAGCUGUUGCCAGAGUUUUCUCUCCCAUGCUGUGUAGUGGGCAGGGCAGGGCAGACACCAUGCCAUGAAACGGGGAAGGGCUGAGCAUCCCCCCCUUGCCACAGACACAGCUCUGCCAUCCAGCACAGAGCACUGCCAGGAGCACAGCAGGGAUAAUGUGAGCCAGCAGGGAAGCAGGGCACCCUUCCCCUGCUCACUGCAGGCUCUCUCUGCUGUGCCACCCCAAAUGGUCACCUGCAGGUCACAGCACACCUCAGAACCUCAGCAAGGUCA